rnacentral:tRNA from 1 species
GAAAGUUCGUCUAACCAAGACAGUUGAUUUCGACUCAACAAAUCAUAGCCUCGCCCUAUGACUUUCUC